rnacentral:misc_RNA from 1 species
AGCAGCCGCGGUAAUUCCGGCUCCAAUAGCGUAUAUUAAAGUUGUUGCAGUUAAAAAGCUCGUAGUUGAAUUUCGGGAUCAGUUGAUCGGUCGUGCCUCGGUACGUACUGGUCAAAUUGAUUCCUACCUUCUGACGAACCACGAUGUCAUUAAUUUGGUGUCGCGGGAAAUCAGGACUGUUACUUUGAAAAAAUUAGAGUGUUUAAAGCAGGCUCGCGCUUGAAUACAUUAGCAUGGAAUAAUGAAAUAGGACGUUUGAUUCUAUUUUGUUGGUUUCUAGGAUCGACGUAAUGAUUAAUAGGGAUAGUUGGGGGCAUUAGUAUUCAAUUGUCAGAGGUGAAAUUCUUGGAUUUAUUGAAGACUAACUACUGCGAAAGCAUUUUGCCAAGGAUGUUUUCAUUAAUCAAGAACGAAAGUUAGGGGAUCAAAGACGAUCAGAUACCGUCGUAGUCUUAACCAUAAACUAUGCCGACUAGGGAUCGGAUGAUGUUAAUUUUUUCAAUGACUCAUUCGGCGCCUU